GACAACUUUAUACACACACGUUUAAGAUCCUACCUGUAAUAAGUUAAAUGAGAUAUAAACGGUCAUAUUUACAACUAUAUCAUGUGUGCACAAAUCAAGCAAUACAUUGUUUCCGUGACGUUUGGAAUAUUAAACAAGUCUCAUGACAUGCUUGGCCGGUUAUGGUUCCAAGAAGAUUUUAGACAAGACUGAGGGACAAUCAUGCUCUGACAGUGCUAGUGUGGAUAUUUUAAAGAACAGUAGAGGUCUCAGGACAUGCUUGAUCGGUUACGAUUCCAUAACAAUUUUUAUCAAGAUUGUGGAUCAGUGCCAGAGUGGUUCUUGAUGAAGAAUAGUAGAGUUAUCCCCUUCGAUAAGUGAAUGUAUUGACAAUGAAGAAAUCGCCGAUUUUGUGAUGGAUAUGGAUGGAAAAGGAAAA